UACGAAAGGUGCAAGCGUUGUCCGGAAUCAUUGGGUGUAAAGGGUGCGUAGGCGGGAGCCUAAGUCGGAGGUGAAAUCCUGCCGCUUAACGGUAAAAUUGCCUUCGAUACUGGGUUUCUUGAGUGCAGAAGGGGUCGGUGGAAUUCGUAGUGUAGCGGUGAAAUGCAUAGAUAUUACGAAGAAUACCGGUGGCGAAGGCGGCCCCCUGGACAAAGACUGACGCUCAGGUGCGAAAGCGUGGGGAGCAAACAGG
rnacentral:misc_RNA from 1 species